UACGUAGGGGGCAAGCGUUGUCCGGAAUCAUUGGGCGUAAAGCGCGUGUAGGCGGCUCGGUAAGUCUGCUGUGAAAGUCCAGGGCUCAACCCUGGGAUGCCGGUGGAUACUGUCGAGCUCGAGUCCGGAAGAGGCGAGUGGAAUUCCUGGUGUAGCGGUGAAAUGCGCAGAUAUCGAGAGGAACACCUGCGGCGAAGGCGGGUUGCUGGGCUGACACUGACGCUGAUGCGCGAAAGCCAGGGGAGCGAACGGG
rnacentral:rRNA from 1 species